rnacentral:rRNA from 1 species
CAGUCGCCGCGGGAAUACGUAGGUGGCAAGCGUUGUCCGGAAUUAUUGGGCGUAAAGGGCUCGCAGGCGGUUUCUUAAGUCUGAUGUGAAAGCCCCCGGCCCAACCGGGGAGGGUCAUUGGAAACUGGGAAACUUGAGUGCAGAAGAGGAGAGUGGAAUUCCACGUGUAGCGGUGAAAUGCGUAGAGAUGUGGAGGAACACCAGUGGCGAAGGCGACUCUUUGGUCUGUAACUGACGCUGAGGAGCGAAAGCGUGGGGAGCGAACAGGAUUAGAUACCCGCGUAGUCCCUGUCUCUUAUAC